CGAAAGCGUUUUUAGCAGCGCAAAACCCACUGUGAACAUACCUGUUUGUUGCUUCGGCAGGCGGCCCCAGGGCGGGGCCAGCAGCCUGUAUUUUUUUCAGGCGCCUGCCGGAGGCCACUUCAAACUCUUUUGUAUACGUACUGUCUGAGCCUAAAACAAAAUACGUUA
rnacentral:misc_RNA from 1 species